GGCUGGUCUGAAGGUAUUAAAUUAUCUCAACUGAUUGUUCACAGUCAGUUACAGAUUAAACUCCCUAUUCUCCUCUUUCCCCCCUUCUCACUACUGCACUUGACAGAAAA
rnacentral:Y_RNA from 1 species